rnacentral:rRNA from 1 species
UGCAGUGGUGGGGUUGGAAAGUUUCGGCGGUUGGGGAUGGACUCGCGGCUUAUCAGCUUGUUGGUGGGGUAGUGGCUUACCAAGGCUUUGACGGGUAGCCGGCCUGAGAGGGUGACCGGCCACAUUGGGACUGAGAUACGGCCCAGACUCCUACGGGAGGCAGCAGUGGGGAAUAUUGCACAAUGGGCGGAAGCCUGAUGCAGCAACGCCGCGUGCGGGAUGACGGCCUUCGGGUUGUAAACCGCUUUCGCCUGUGACGAAGCGUGAGUGACGGUAAUGGGUAAAGAAGCACCGGCUAACUACGUG